rnacentral:rRNA from 1 species
UCCGCCAGGGUAAUACGAGCACCCAGCUUAAAACCCAAAGGACCUGACGGUGUCUCAGACCCCCCUAGAGGAGCCUGUUCUAGAACCGAUAAUCCCCGUUAAACCUCACCAUUUCUGGUCUUCCCAGCCUAUAUACCGCCGUCGCCAGCUUACCCUGUGAAGGAUAAAAAGUAAGCAAAAUGAGUAUAACUCAAAACGUCAGGUCGAGGUGUAGCGCAUGAAAUGGAAAGAAAUGGGCUACAUUUUCUAAAUCAGAACAUUACGAACAUGACACAUGAAAAAA